UGAACAUAUUAUUGUAUUCGACUGUAUUCACAGCAUGAAACAGGGGAUUACACUAUUUUUAAACGGAAAGUGAAUCAAUUAACAUAAUAGACUCCU
rnacentral:pre_miRNA from 1 species